UAUUCUAUGGCUUAGUUGGUUUAAGCGCCGGACAAGCGAUACGGAGACGUGGGUUCGAAUCCCACCAAAUCAA
rnacentral:tRNA from 1 species